rnacentral:rRNA from 1 species
UACGUAGGGAGCAAGCGUUGUCCGGAAUUAUUGGGCGUAAAGCGCGCGUAGGCGGUCUCGUAAGUCGGCUGUGAAAGUCAAAGGCUCAACCUUUGAAAGCCGGUGGAUACUGUGAGGCUAGAGUACGGAAGAGGCGAGUGGAAUUCCUGGUGUAGCGGUGGAAUGCGCAGAUAUCAGGAGGAACACCAAUAGCGAAGGCAGCUCGCUGGGACGUUACUGACACUGAGGCGCGAAAGCGUGGGGAGCGAACAGG